CUGCAUUGCGGGAAGACUUUCUACCGUCUGAGUCACCAGGGAAUCCCAAAGUGAGAAAAAGCUGAAGGGCCAGGGCCUUGUCACUGACCAUUGAUCUAGUGGCUAGGAUUCAGUACUCUCACCGCGGAGACUCGACCUCGAUCUCUGGCGGGGAAACGAAGCCCCACUUCAAGCCGCUGCAGGUCAAAGCCACCCAAGAUCAUAUUUGGUGCUGAAACCCAGGAAUUCAAGGUAAACCUUGGGCUUCACCCAGCUGCGGCUUGAGGCCACUGACUUUCGCUCCUGCUUUCUUUUUCUCACUCUCCAUUUCACUUUCAAGACCCACAGGGCAUAAUUUCUGUCUGGUCAACAUUGAGGAUGGCAGAGGGGUCCCCCAGGCCGUGCAGAUUCAAAUAACACUUGGGUGACAGUUGACUGUGUCCUUUGGGACAUGGUAGAAACGUGAUUUCCAAACCUGCAGGAGCUCAAGGGGUCUUUCCCACCCACUCCUCUGUCGUUGUCCAGUAUGGAACCUUCCACUACACUUUUCCUUCCCACCUUACUUGCACAACAGGGUGUCUUUCUCACUUCAUAUCUCCGCAACCUUUUAGGGAAGGAUUUCCUGGAUAUUAUUCCUAAACUGCAUCCCCGCCACUGCCAAACCCAAUGCUGCCUGUGUGAGACCAAGUCGUUAGCCGAAGCCCAGUUCUUUUACACCUGCCAGGACUAAAGGGCAAAGGAUUUGGGGUUUUUCUGCUGUCUGGUGUCUCACCUCACUCAAUGCCCAGAAAUUUACUGUGAGAAUUUCUCUGCCUCCUGGCCCUUGAGCCUUCAACCCCGUGCCAUCUUCCACAGUGCCCAACUCCAGUUUCUUCAAGGGUUCUAUUUUGCAACUGAUGGACCCCCUUCACUCCAGGCCUUGGCAGCAUAUACACUGCUACAGACAGCUUAUCAGGCUGGCCGCUACCCAGAAGCCCAAAUUAUAAACUUUGUAGAUGCUCAGUCACGAGGAAUACACCCCAGCGUAGGAAGACUUAUUAUAGGACAUAAGCUGUAUAGAGGAGGGAUCCCUCCUAAGGAAAGUCCUAGCAGCCGGUCGGCAGUGGUUCAAAUGUCCUCCCCUGGCCACCUGGGGAAGACAGCUUCUAAAGGUACUAAGGGAGACCAGAGAUGUCAGAAAUCUAUGGGAUGGUAGAGGUCUGGAAACUCUAUCAGGUUGGAAGGAAUUUGGGGUUGCACCCUGAACCCCUUCAGGUCAAAGUCUCCUAGCAAAUGUUUCUGGAACAACAGAUUCCAUUUCCUGGAGCUUUCUCGGUUGCAGGUUAACAGAAAGGCUAGGAAAGGGAAAACUUAAGUUCUACUGUAACAGUGCCUGGCCUUCAUAUAAGUUGGGGAAUGGAGAAAAACUACCUGAAAACGGGUCUCUAUAAUGCCAUUCUACAAUUGCAUAUUUAUUGCCACUGGAUGGGAAAGUGGACUGAGGGUCCCUCUAGUCAGACUUUCAUGGUCCAUUACCAAAAUUCCACCCUAUAUGGCUCUUGUAAUUCAAAACAUGGGGAACCAGAGAAAAAAAAAAAAAAAAAAACAUCAUUUUAGAUGAUCCCCUUCAAAGCUGUCCCAUCUCUCAGGGGGAUACCUAGCUCCCCCUGCUCCUGACAGUAUCCCUACUUUUCCAGAUCCAUCUGACUGAACCCAAACUCCACCUCCCCAUGUCCCUCCAUCCCCUCAGUUACCCCAGGAAAGAGACUAGUCCCUCUGUCCUCUCACCGUUGGAGCUUCCUAUCACCCAGGAUCAGGGAAGUUACGCCCUCUUAGGGAAGUGGCAAAUGGGGAAGGGACAGUCAGAGUCCCCUUUUAUAACCAACUUAGCCCAAAGCAAACAAACGAUUUUCUGAAGACCCAAGUAGGGUUUCAUGAAGAGUUUCAUGCUCCAAUUCUGGUUAUGACUUAACUUGGUAGGAUGUCCAAGGAGUCCUGUUGGGUUAGCCAAAAUGACCAUUGGGGUUUUUCCAUAAGAUAUUAUGGAAAAACCUGAGUGAACAUUUUGGCCAACCUAAUACUUAUUGUACUUCUGAGGAAAAACAGAAUCUGGACGGCAGCCCAGAGGCUUGCUGACUAACUUGCUGGAGACCAACUUGAAUACACUCUGGGUGGAGAGGCAGUCCCAAAUAUAAUUCCUCGGAAUUAUACUUCUUGGACAGGAACAGAAGCCAGGAAGCUCAUGAUCUAAUGUGUAUUAGAAGGGAUGAGAAAGUGUAUCAAAAUGUCAUUUAACUGUGAGGUUAAAGGAGUGACCCAGGAAAAGAAAGAAAAUCCAGCCCCCUCUUUCACAGGCAGCUUGUGAAGGCUUUUAGGAAGUAUACCAACGUAGAUCCCUCCACUUCCAAAGGUCAGUCCCUGCUGGGACAAUACUUUUUAUCAGCCAGCCCUCCCCUGAUACUAUUAACAUGUGGAAACUUCAAAAGUUAGAAUUUGGGCCACAGACUUCCAUACCUCAACUCCUGGAUGUGGCCCUUGGUGUAUUUAAUAAUCAAGACCAAGCUCCAGGGGGAAAGCUGGAGAAAAGACAGUCUAGGGCUCAUGCACAACUGAUAGCCAUUGCUGUUGGCCAUGUCUUGUGACCUCAGGACAGCUCAAGGGGGCCAAAAAAGUCCAGCCGUCCAUCUGGAGGUAAGACCAACAAGCAGGAAUGCUACAAAUGCAAGUCAACUGGCCACUGGGCCCGAGAUUGCCAGAAAGAACCCCGCUUCCCUCCCCCAGGCCAUGCCUAGCCUGCAAACAAGCAGGUCAUUGGAAGAGGGACUGCCCUUAGUCCCAAAGUGGGCGAGGGGCUCCCACUCCUGAAAUGGCCAUGCUGGAUGACUGAGGUGGCCCAGAGAUUCUAGCUUCUGAUGGUUCCCCCUAACAAGAGGUCUAUCUCCACUGAGGGGCCCAGGGUAGUCCUUGUCAUGGCAGGUAAGAAAAUCAAUUUCUUAGUUGACAUGGGAACCACUUACUCUGUCUUAAUUUCUCACACUGGACCUCCCUCUUCCAAAAGCUGUGCUGUAACUGGUGUCAAUGGAAAGCCUCGCAGCCAUUAUUUUACCGGGCCUCUCACUUGUCAAUGUGAGCAGCAGCUGAUUUCAUGUGCCUCUUUAGUUGUGCCUGAGUGUCCCACCCCACUACUGGAAAGAGAUCAUCUGAGCUCUAUCAGGGCCAUACUCCAGUUAGGAGGCUGCAACACUUUCCCUUGACUGACUAAAACAGACCAGCCAGAAGAGCAAGGUCCUAUUCCCAGCCAUAUUGUACAAAAAGUGGGUCCUGCAGUGUGGGACAAAGAAAUCCCUAGAAUGGCCAUACAUGCCCAGCCUGUAAGAAUUCACCUUAGGCCUGAAGCUGCUUAUCCUAACAAGAGAAAAGGUGGAAGGAGAAAGGAUCCACAUCAAAGGAACAGAUACCAGAACAAACAUGGAAGGAAGGCAUUGGGUAUAUGGUUGGAGAACAUUUCUGUAACAAUAGAUUUGGAUGGCUAGCUCUUAAAACCUUAAAUCUGUUAGUCUAUUGUACCCCACCAGGAUACGUUUUGGUAUGCCAGGUAGAUAAGAAACCAUGGGCCACUAAUUGCCUGCACAGUAACUCCAUGUCCACACAGUAUAUGCUGGCAACUUUGGUUACUCCUUUCUCAAGCCACUCCUUAAAUGAAUUUAAGUUUAUUAAACCCAUUUACUCGAUUAACUCUAGAUUUACCUGGUGGCAUCCUAGAUGGAGACGUCUAUUUCUUUGGGUACACCUUGUUACCAUGGUGGGGAGUCACCGCCCAUCAACAUGUCCUUCAAAACUUAUCUGUUACUCUUACCACCAUAGCUAACAAUACCACUAACUCUCUUACUAAUUUACAAAAGUCUCUAGAUUCACUGGCCAAGGUGGCAUUUGACAACUGUCUGGCCCUGGUUUAUCUGUUGGCAAAACAAGGAGUUGCCAACCUUUCUUGUUGCACAUACAUUAACACCUCUUCCCAGGUAUAGACCGACAUUGAGAAAACGCAACAGCAGGCCACCUGGCUUCAACAGACAGUUAACCACCAAUCCUCACUAUUCAGUAUGGGUGGGGAAAUUGAAAGCUGGUUCUCUAACUUGUCCUCCUGGAUCCCGCAAGGUAUUAAAAACUUUCUGAUUGGAUGUUUCCAUUUUCUUAUAACCUUCUUCAUGGUUUCAGCCAUACUGAUUUAUGUUAAAUGUUUAGUAUUUCUCUAUUCUUAAGAAGGAAGGCCUCAACCUGUUGGUCCCAGGCCUGCUUCUUGGACUGAAACAUCUUAGUUGAAGAUUUGCAACAGUAAAGAAGACAGCAGGGCUCUAGGAAAAAUAUAAAUCCGUAUGGCCAAUGUGCUGACCUUAUUCCAAGUGUGCUUGAGCCUCCGAUUUUAACAGUCUUUUACUGAUCGUUAGGCCCUGCUUCUCUAAUUAUUUGGUUUGUUUUCUCUGGGGCAUCACAGGACAAUGGUGAUGCAGGGACUCCAGCUACUUCCCAAGGCAGAUCCUGCCAAAAUAACAACAGAAGCCACCUUGGGGCCCCUUUAAUGAGAUAGGGUGAGAGCUCCGUGACCCCAGCUAGGUAGGGUCUACAAGCCCCUUGCCAGCCUGAAGAAGCUACAGAAGACAGACCUUCACCCUUCAUCUUCCCAAUAAAGUUUUCUUGGGGUGUACGUCUCUCAGGGAGGAUUUGAGGCAGGAGAUAGAUGGGCCCCCCACCAGAGUGAACAGUUGGAGUUCGUUCCCUAUGGACAGAAACUCCAAAAUAUCAAUAGCAGUUCAAUCAAGAGAGGAGGCUGGGCCCUGCUCAGAUAAAAGAUAAGAGACUAUACAUUUCUUAUUCUUGAAGUCAAGGAGACGCCUGACUGGAAAGCUUGGAGGUCAAAAUGGGAAUGAUGUCAAGCUACCCAUGGGCCUCUUUGCUGGAAGAGACUGAGAGAUCGAUUUUGGCUGAGAGAUACACAUGCACAGAUGGGAGGAUCCUGAGGACUCAGAACCAGAUAAAGCAAGAUGAUUGGCCAAAGGAAACCUGGAAGAAAUGCACCAUAUAAGUGAUUUAAACUGCCACAAAGGUGCAACUUUCUGAGUCCACCUGUGUGUCUAUCCAUAUGUACUGUUCUCUUUUCCUCCUAAUAAACACUUUAUUACCCUA